GGUGAGGACAAAGAUACUGGCGGUGAGGACAAGGUUCCUGGCGGUGAGGACAAGGUUUCUUGCGUUGAGGACAAGGUUCCUGGCGGUGAGGACAAGGUUCCUGGCGGUGAGGACAAGGUUCCUGGCGGUGAGGACAAGGUUCCUGGCGGUGAGGACAAGGUUCCUUCCUGUGAGGACAAGGUUCCUGCCGGUGAGGACAAGGUUUCUCGCGUUGAGGACAAGGUUUCUCGCGUUGAGGACAAGGUUCCUUCCGGUGAGGACAAGGUUUCUGCCGGUGAGGACAAGGUUCCUGGCGGUGAGGACAAGGUUCCUGCCGGUGAGGACAAGGUUCCUGGCGGUGAGGACAAGGUGCCUGGCGGUGAGGAUAAGGUUCCUGGCGGUGAGGACAAGGUUCCUGGCGGUGAGAACAAGGUACCUGGCGGUGAGGACAAGGUUCCUGGCGGUGAGGACAAGGUUCCUGGCGGUGAGGACAAGGUUCCUGGCGGUGAGGACAAGGUUCCUGCCGGUGAGGACAAGGUUCCUGGCGGUGUGGACAAGGUUUCUGCUGGUGAGGACAAGGUUCCUGGCGGUGAGGACAAGGUUCCUGGCUGUGAGGACAAGGUUCCUGGCGGUGAGGACAAGGUUCCUGGCGGUGAGGACAAGGUUCCUGGCUGUCAGCACAAGGUUCCUGGCGGUGUGG
rnacentral:lncRNA from 1 species